rnacentral:rRNA from 1 species
GCAUAUCAAUAAGCGGAGGAAAAGAAACCAACCGGGAUUGCCUCAGUAACGGCGAGUGAAGCGGCAAGAGCUCAAAUUUGAAAGCUGGCCCCUCCGGGGUCCGCGUUGUAAUUUGCAGAGGAUGCUUUGGGUGCGGCCCCCGUCUAAGUGCCCUGGAACGGGCCGUCAGAGAGGGUGAGAAUCCCGUCUUGGGCGGGGUGUCCGUGCCCGUGUAAAGCUCCUUCGACGAGUCGAGUUGUUUGGGAAUGCAGCUCUAAAUGGGUGGUAAAUUUCAUCUAAAGCUAAAUACUGGCCGGAGACCGAUAGCGCACAAGUAGAGUGAUCGAAAGAUGAAAAGCACUUUGAAAAGAGAGUUAAACAGCACGUGAAAUUGUUGAAAGGGAAGCGCUUGCGACCAGACUCGCCCUCGGGGUUCAGCCGGCACUCGUGCCGGUGUACUUCCCCGGGGGCGGGCCAGCGUCAGCUUGGGCGGCCGGUCAAAGGCCUCCGGAAUGUAGUGCCCCCCGGGGCACCUUAUAGCCGGAGGUGCAAUGCGGCCAGCCUGGGCUGAGGAACGCGCUUCGGCACGGACGCUGGCAUAAUGGUCGCAAACGACCCGUCUUGAAACACGGACCAAGGAGUCUAACAUCUACGCGAGUGUUCGGGUGUCAAACCCGUACGCGCAGUGAAAGCAAACGGAGGUGGGAGCCCCCUCGCGGGGCGCACCAUCGACCGAUCCUGAUGUCUUCGGAUGGAUUUGAGUAAGAGCGUAAAUGUGGGGACCCGAAAGAUGGUGAACUAUGCCUGAAUAGGGCGAAGCCAGAGGAAACUCUGGUGGAAGGCUCGCAGCGGUUCUGACGUGCAAAUCGAUCGUCAAAUUUGGGUAUAGGGGCGAAAGACUAAUCGAACCAUCUAGUAGCUGGUUCUUGCCAAA